rnacentral:rRNA from 1 species
GGUUAAGUUAGAAAGGGCGCACGGUGAAUGCCUUGGCACUAGGAGCCGAUGAAGGACGGGACUAACACCGAUAUGCUUCGGGGAGCUGUAAGUGAGCUUUGAUCCGGAGAUUUCCGAAUGGGGAAACCCACUGUUCGUAAUGGAACAGUAUCUUUAUCUGAAUACAUAGGAUAUUGAAGGCAGACCCGGGGAACUGAAACAUCUAAGUACCCGGAGGAAGAGAAAGCAAAUGCGAUUUCCUGAGUAGCGGCGAGCGAAACGGAAUUAGCCCAAACCAAGAGGCUUGCCUCUUGGGGUUGUAGGACACUCUAUACGGAGUUACAAAGGAACGAAGUAAAUGAAGCGACCUGGAAAGGUCCGUCGAAGAAGGUAACAACCCUGUAGUUGAAACUUCGUUCCCUCUUGAGUGGAUCCUGAGUACGGCGGAACACGUGAAAUUCCGUCGGAAGCUGGGAGGACCAUCUCCCAAGGCUAAAUACUACCUAGUGACCGAUAGUGAACCAGUACCGUGAGGGAAAGGUGAAAAGCACCCCGGAAGGGGAGUGAAAGAGAUCCUGAAACCGUGUGCCUACAAGUAGUCAGAGCCCGUUAACGGGUGAUGGCGUGCCUUUUGUAGAAUGAACCGGCGAGUUACGAUCCCAUGCAAGGUUAAGCUGAUAAGGCGGAGCCGUAGCGAAAGCGAGUCUGAAUAGGGCGUUUAGUAUGUGGUUGUAGACCCGAAACCAGGUGAUCUACCCAUGUCCAGGGUGAAGUUCAGGUAACACUGAAUGGAGGCCCGAACCCACGCACGUUGAAAAGUGCGGGGAUGAGGUGUGGGUAGCGGAGAAAUUCCAAUCGAACCUGGAGAUAGCUGGUUCUCUCCGAAAUAGCUUUAGGGCUAGCCUCAUGUUGUGAGAGUCUUGGAGGUAGAGCACUGAUUGGACUAGGGGCCCCCAACGGGUUACCGAAUUCAGUCAAACUCCGAAUGCCAAAGACUUAUCCAUGGGAGUCAGACUGCGAGUGAUAAGAUCCGUAGUCAAAAGGGAAACAGCCCAGACCACCAGCUAAGGUCCCCAAGUAUACGUUAAGUGGAAAAGGAUGUGGAGUUGCUUAGACAACCAGGAUGUUGGCUUAGAAGCAGCCACCAUUUAAAGAGUGCGUAAUAGCUCACUGGUCGAGUGACUCUGCGCCGAAAAUGUACCGGGGCUAAACGUAUCACCGAAGCUGUGGAUUGACAUCUUUGAUGUCAGUGGUAGGAGAGCGUUCUAAGUGCUGUGAAGUCAGACCGUAAGGACUGGUGGAGCGCUUAGAAGUGAGAAUGCCGGUAUGAGUAGCGAAAGACAAGUGAGAAUCUUGUCCACCGAAUGCCUAAGGUUUCCUGAGGAAGGCUCGUCCGCUCAGGGUUAGUCGGGACCUAAGCCGAGGCUGAAAAGCGUAGGCGAUGGCCAACAGGUUGAUAUUCCUGUACCACCUCCCCGCCGUUUGAGUAAUGGGGGGACGCAGUAGGAUAGGGUAAGCGCGCUGCUGGAUAUGCGCGUUCAAGCAGUUAGGCUGAUGAGUAGGCAAAUCCGCUCAUCAUAAAGGCUGAGCUGUGAUGACGAGGGAAUUAUAGUACCGAAGUUCCUGAUUCCACACUGCCAAGAAAAGCCUCUAGCGAGGCGGGAGGUGCCCGUACCGCAAACCGACACAGGUAGGCGAGGAGAGAAUCCUAAGGUGAUCGAGAGAACUCUCGUUAAGGAACUCGGCAAAAUGACCCCGUAACUUCGGGAGAAGGGGUGCUCUGGUAGGGUGUAUAGCCCGAGAGAGCCGCAGUGAAUAGGCCCAGGCGACUGUUUAGCAAAACACAGGUCUCUGCGAAGCCGCAAGGCGAAGUAUAGGGGCUGACGCCUGCCCGGUGCUGGAAGGUUAAGAGGAGGGUUAUCCUUUGGGAGAAGCUCUGAAUCGAAGCCCCAGUAAACGGCGGCCGUAACUAUAACGGUCCUAAGGUAGCGAAAUUCCUUGUCGGGUAAGUUCCGACCCGCACGAAAGGCGUAACGAUCUGGGCACUGUCUCAACGAGAGACUCGGUGAAAUUAUAGUACCUGUGAAGAUGCAGGUUACCCGCGACAGGACGGAAAGACCCCGUGGAGCUUUACUGUAGCCUGAUAUUGAAUUUUGGUACAGCUUGUACAGGAUAGGUAGGAGCCUGAGAAGCCGGAGCGCUAGCUUCGGUGGAGGCGUCGGUGGGAUACUACCCUGGCUGUAUUGAAAUUCUAACCCGCGGCCCUGAUCGGGCCGGGAGACAGUGUCAGGUGGGCAGUUUGACUGGGGCGGUCGCCUCCUAAAAUGUAACGGAGGCGCCCAAAGGUUCCCUCAGAAUGGUUGGAAAUCAUUCGUAGAGUGUAAAGGCACAAGGGAGCUUGACUGCGAGACCUACAAGUCGAGCAGGGACGAAAGUCGGGCUUAGUGAUCCGGUGGUUCCGCAUGGAAGGGCCAUCGCUCAACGGAUAAAAGCUACCCGGGGAUAACAGGCUUAUCUCCCCCAAGAGUCCACAUCGACGGGGAGGUUUGGCACCUCGAUGUCGGCUCAUCGCAUCCUGGGGCUGUAGUCGGUCCCAAGGGUUGGGCUGUUCGCCCAUUAAAGCGGUACGCGAGCUGGGUUCAGAACGUCGUGAGACAGUUCGGUCCCUAUCCGUCGUGGGCGUAGGAAAUUUGAGAGGAGCUGUCCUUAGUACGAGAGGACCGGGAUGGACACACCGCUGGUGUACCAGUUGUCUUGCCAAAGGCAUCGCUGGGUAGCUAUGUGUGGACGGGAUAAGUGCUGAAAGCAUCUAAGCAUGAAGCCCCCCUCAAGAUGAGAUUUCCCAUAGCGCAAGCUAGUAAGAUCCCUGAAAGAUGAUCAGGUUGAUAGGUCAGAGGUGGAAGCGUGGCGACAUGUGUAGCUGACUGAUACUAAUCGAUCGAGGACUUAACCAA